CCUACGGGGGGCAGCAGUGGGGAAUAUUGGGCAAUGGAGGCAACUCUGACCCAGCAACGCCGCGUGAGUGAUGAAGGUCUUCGGAUUGUAAAGUUCUGUGAUGGGGGAUGAACACAAUGACGGUACCCCAAUAGCAAGCCACGGCUAACUACGUGCCAGCAGCCGCGGUAAUACGUAGGUGGCAAGCGUUAUCCGGAAUGACGGGGCGUAAAGGUGGCGUAGGUGGUUUAGUAAGUCGGCGGUGUAAUUCCGGGGCUCAACCCCGGCGCUACCGCCAAAACUAUUAGACUAGAGUGCAGGAGAGGAAAGGGGAAUUCCUAGUGUAGCGGUGGAAUGCGUAGAUAUUAGGAGGAACAUCAGGGGCGAAGGCGACUAACUGGACUGUAACUGACGCUGAGGCACGAAAGCGUGGGGAGCAAACAGGAUUAGAUACCCUGGUAGUC
rnacentral:rRNA from 1 species